rnacentral:rRNA from 1 species
UACGUAGGGUGCAAGCGUUGUCCGGAAUUAUUGGGCGUAAAGAGCGCGCAGGCGGUCGUACAAGUCGCGUGUGAAAGCCCCCGGCUCAACUGGGGAGGGUCACGCGAUACUGUUCGACUCGAAGGCAGGAGAGGGAAGUGGAAUUCCCGGUGUAGUGGUGAAAUGCGUAGAUAUCGGGAGGAACACCAGUGGCGAAGGCGACUUCCUGGCCUGUUCUUGACGCUGAGGCGCGAAAGCUAGGGUAGCAAACGGG